rnacentral:rRNA from 1 species
UACGGAGGGGGCUAGCGUUGUUCGGAAUUACUGGGCGUAAAGCGCGCGUAGGCGGAUCUGCAAGUCGGGGGUGAAAUCCCGAGGCUCAGCCUCGGAACUGCCUUCGAUACUGCUGGUCUCGAGUCCGGGAGAGGUGAGUGGAAUUCCUAGUGUAGAGGUGAAAUUCGUAGAUAUUAGGAAGAACACCAGUGGCGAAGGCGGGUCUCUGGACAGUUCCUGACGCUGAGGCACGAAGGUCAGGGGAGCAAACGGG